rnacentral:rRNA from 1 species
AUUGAACGCUGGCGGCAGGCCUAACACAUGCAAGUCGAGCGGAGCUGCGGACGGACGGGUAAUUCCUAGGUAUCUGCCUGGCCGCGGGGGAUAACGUCCGGAAUCGGGCGCUAUUACCGUAUCUUUUCAGAUGAGCCUAGGCCGGAUUAGCUAGUUGGUGGGUGAAGGGCUUACCAAGGCGACGAGCCGUAACUGGUCUGAGAGGAUGAUCAGUCACACUGGAACUGAGACACGGUCCAGACUCCUACGGGAGGCAGCAGUGGGGAAUAUUGGACAAUGGGCGAAAGCCUGAUGCAGCCAUGCCGCGUGUGUGAAGAAGGUCUUCGGAUUGUAAAGCACUUUAAGUUGGGAGGCGUUACCAACAGAAGAAGCACCGGCUAACUUCGUGCCAGCAGCCGCGGUAAUAC